rnacentral:rRNA from 1 species
GAUGAACGCUGGCGGCGUGCCUAAUACAUGCGAGUCGAGCGAACAGAUGAGGAGCUUGCUCCUCUGACGUUAGCGGCGGACGGGUGAGUAACACGUGGAUAACCUACCUAUAAGACUGGGAUAACUUCGGGAAACCGGAGCUAAUACCGGAUAAUAUAUUGAACCGCAUGGUUCAAUAGUGAAAGACGGUUUUGCUGUCACUUAUAGAUGGAUCCGCGCCGCAUUAGCUAGUUGGUAAGGUAACGGCUUACCAAGGCAACGAUGCGUAGCCGACCUGAGAGGGUGAUCGGCCACACUGGAACUGAGACACGGUCCAGACUCCUACGGGAGGCAGCAGUAGGGAAUCUUCCGCAAUGGGCGAAAGCCUGACGGAGCAACGCCGCGUGAGUGAUGAAGGUCUUCGGAUCGUAAAACUCUGUUAUUAAGGAAGAACAAAUGUGUAAGUAACUAUGCACGUCUUGACGGUACCUAAUCAGAAAGCCACGGCUAACUACGUG